GAGCAUUGGCGCCAUCUGCUGCUCGAGAUUAAACUCACAGCGCAGUUCCGCUUCCGGAUUCAUCUGAUGCUGAGCAGAAGAACAGAGCUCGUCAUGCGGAAGUCCGGCGAGUUAUGAACAGGGUUUGAGUUUAUGAUAUUUCUCUGAAGCUCUGCAGGUGUAAUGAGAGUCAGUCCGCGGCGGGUUCUGAACUGCGCUGUGUGCUCUCUCAUACUCGGAGGUGUUUUAGGAAGAAUGUCGUCGUCAUUGGUGUCUGGGCUCCCGGACCGGACUGUGAUCUGGGAGACGUCAGAGCUGUCGGCGCAUCUGCACUCCUCCCCGUGGACUCCAGGGGUCGCUGUCGUCACCCAGAAGAACUUCGGCGGCACCGCCAGCCUCUUCCACUUACCUGAGGAUGCAUUUCUGCAUCUGCUCCUGGGCGCAAGAUCCGUCGCGCACCAGCUGUGUGAGAGUCUGGCGGUGCAGCGCUGCGCUUUGGUCUAUACUCCACACAAACGGGCCGGAGCCGAGCUCCACGUGGUGCCGCUCCACGGCCUGCAGGCGGAUUGGAAACCUCACCUCGCUGCGCAGGAGGAUUUCCAGGCGUACGAUCCCGGAUACGUCAGCUCCAAGAGCGGGCCGCGCUGGACGGAUGAGGAUCUAGACGCCAUCAGGAGCCAAAUCUGGGCUCAGCUGCCAAACCCGAACGCGGCGCCCAACUACACCUUUCUGGGCGAUCCGUCCGACCCCGGGCUGUUCCCACGCAUCGUGCGUGGAGAAGAGAAGCAGUGGAGAGUUUGGGAAGAUGAAGAGCAUGUGGCCUUCCUCACGCCGUUCCCCAACACACCCGGACUGACCGUUCUGGUCCCUCGGAAGCCCCUCUCCAGUGACAUCUUCCGGCUGGAGGAGGGCGACUAUCGGCGGCUGGCGCUGGCCACUCGGAAGGUGUCCGGGCUUCUGGAGGCGGGGCUUGGUGCCUGGGGGGUGGGGCUUAUUUUUGAGGGCUUUGAGAUUGAUUACGCUCAUGCUAAGCUGAUUCCGCUCAUCUCUUCGCCUGAUGAAGCGGAGACGAGCCUCAGCUGUCCGGCUCCGGAGUUCUUUGACCGCUAUCCGGGUUUCGUGACGUCCGUCAGCGGUCCGCCAGCCAGCAGGGAGAGUCUCCACGAGAUUUGUGCCAGAGUUACCCCGCGCUAACUAGGGUUGCAAAAAGUAAAUUUUGGAAACUUUACAGUAAUUUUGGAAAGUUUCCAGGAUUUUUUAUUUUUUUUAAUCUUCUGGGAAUUUUUGGAAAGUUUCCGGAAAUAUUCCACCCCUUUUCAACCCUAGCGCUAACAGCUUUCUGUCGAUUUAAUCAGCAAUGUUUAUAGGAAUGGCAGAAAUAACUAGUGUUUGACUGAUAUAUUGCCAAGGCCGAUAUAUCGGCCGAUAUUUGACAUUUUUCAAAUAUCGGCAUCAGCCGAAGUGUUCGAGACGGGACUUUUAUUUUGUCAGCACCUGAUCUCACACACUGCAAACAAUGAUUUCCUUCUUUAGUAUGUUUGUCUUGUUUUCUAGUAGAAAUAUCUACAAAUUCUGGAAUUAAGAUAUGUUUACUUAACAAGUAAAAUGACUUAUUUUGUCUUGUUUUCUGAAAAUAUUAUCCACAUUUUGUUAGUUUUUGCUUCAAACAAGUAAAAACAUCUGCCAAUGGGGUAAAGCAAAUAAUCUUGUUUAGCCUUUGAAUUAAGAUUAUUUUUCUUACCCCCUUGGCAGAUAUUUUUGAUUGUUCAGGUCAGACAAAGGAAUUAAAAAGUAUACACACAAAAAAAUGACAUUAUUCGAAAAAAAAAUAAAAAUUCCCAAUGCACACAAACUUCCCAGAUUACUGAGUGCGCUGUUGGUUACAGUGCUCACUUCCUUUUUAUUUAUAUAGAUUUUAAAACAUUUCUUUAUUUGUGAAAAAUCCUGUAAUAGGAUUACAGAAUCAAGUAGUUGUCAUCUAAAGUAUAAGUAUGUUUAUUUUACACACUUAUCAUUUUAAAAUUAUUUCAAAUUUCUUAAAUAUUAAUUAGAAUAAAUAAAUAUGAUACAUAUCGGCUUUAUAUCGGCCACCCUGUUCUCUAAGAUAUCGGCAUCGGCUGUCAAAUAUCGGUUGACCACUAGAAAUAUCUGUAUACACAUUUGUGAAAAUGAUUGAUUUUUAAGGAGAUCUUAGCCGUUCCUCAAUACCAAGCACACAAAGUUUGGACGUCCAGUAAUUCUACAAAUGGAACAGCACUGGAGGUGUAUUUACAAUAAAAUUAAAUAUGAUGGCAAACACCACUGCCUCUUUUCAUUUAAACAUAUUAAUAGCCACAAAAUGUAUUUUAGGCACACGUAAAUAUUUUGAUUGCCUUCACUGAAUGUAUACUUAAAACAAAAUAUAAAACACAACACUCUUUUCAUUUUCAGAAGUGAAGAACAGGUGAACACAGACAUGCAAGUAUGUUAAAUAUGGAGUUCCUUUAUGUAUCACACAUUAGCUAAUAUUCAUAUUUCUUGUCCUAAUGUGACCAUCUCUAGCAGUCAGAGAUCAAUGACAACACAAGCUUACAUGAGCUUCUACUGUAAAUGUUUUUCGUGUUAAUUAAUCUCGUAGCAUCAUCUACAAGCUCGUACCAUCUGCGCCAUCUCAGUCCGUUCUUAAUUAAUCCCCAGGCAUUUUAAUUAACGUCUUAAUUGGUGACUCGUUAAUGUUCUUAAUUAUGCAUCUGGAAAGCUGGUAUCUAAUCUGUGAGAAGUAAAAGAAUCAGGUUAUCUGACACAAACACAACAGUGAGGAGAAGAAAGUGAAGUUCAGAUUUGUUCCCAGAGUCUGAAGAUCAAUCAGAAGAGAGUCACGAGGAGUUAAACGAGCAGCGGAGAAACAGGCAAACAGGAGACGUCUGGGGAAACAUGACACAGAAAACACAACAACCGGCACAGUUUCACAAAGUCAACAUGCUGAUGACGAGCGCUUCGUUAAAUCAGUGCUUCUCUACUGGUUUUGAUCAAAUCAGCAUUUCAAAUAAGAGCAGUACUCCAACCAUAAACCCAGCAUCAUGCAACACGGCGCUACAAUUGACAUAUUAAACAUUGAAAUGUAUUAAUAUUGUAAUAAGUAGACCCUGCAAAGGCUCAGUAAGAUGAAAAAUUAUUUACAUGACUUUAACCAAAUUGAAGUGUUUCUCUGCAGCAGACAGUUCAGAGUGAGUGAACGUUAUGCAUUUUUUGAGUGUGUAGUUUUGUUCAUGGUUUGAGGAUGAGAGCAUCACACACCCCGUCCAAGUUGAUCCAUAUGUCUAAUUUGACUUUUACCCCUAUAAAGAGAAAUCUUACUGUUGUAGGAUGAAUUUGUGCCAAAAUACUGUAGAGUUUGAUGGACACACAACCUUUGACAUCAUCAGUAGCUAUGGAUAUGGAAGGUGUUUUCUCUUUUCUUUAUUUGGUUGAUGAGUCUAUUUUAUUGUAAAAAUGUUUAGUUUUGUUUACUUUUUUGCACUUAACAUUGUGUUUUUCCCUCUUUCAGUGACCAAUCACGACAGACCUGAGACACGCCAGUUGAGAACCACAGAAAGAUACAAUGACAACCCAAAGGUCUACAAUCACACACACAAAAUCAGACAGUUUUUCAUUUCAGACGCUCACGCUGAUGGGUUUCUUGGAGGGACUCUGCAGGCAUUGACAGAACGUGGAGCGCUCCAUCUUAGAGAUGUAGAGCGAAGGCUCGAUGGUGCAGCUCAGGUCCAUGAUGGAGAAGACGCCGAGAAGAACCUUACAAUGCAGCUUCAUGAACGAGAAGGUGGAAGCAAAUGGCAGCAGAGCCACAGGAGGCAGAUAGCUCCCAACGAUGAUGCCGAGGACGAUAAUCACCAUUUUAAAGGCCUUCUUCUUCACCGGGU
rnacentral:lncRNA from 1 species